AUUCUUGGUCAUUUAGAGGAAGUAAAAGUCGUAACAAGGUUUCCGUAGGUGAACCUGCGGAAGGAUCAUUACAAGUGAGGCUACCGAACGUUGGAAACAGCGGUUAGGAGCUUACACCCACCCGUGUUUACAUACUAUUGUUGCUUUGGCGGGCCGUGGCCUCCACUGCGGGCUCUGCUCGUGUGUGCCCGCCAGAGAACCAAACUCUGAAUGUUAGUGAUGUCUGAGUACUAUCUAAUAGUUAAAACUUUCAACAACGGAUCUCUUGGUUCUGGCAUCGAUGAAGAACGCAGCGAAAUGCGAUAAGUAAUGUGAAUUGCAGAAUUCAGUGAAUCAUCGAAUCUUUGAACGCACAUUGCGCCCUGUGGUAUUCCGCAGGGCAUGCCUGUUCGAGCGUCAUUUAACCACUCACGCCUAGCGUGGUAUUGGGGCACGCGGUCUCCGCGGCCCUCAAAAUUAGUGGCGGCGCCGGUGGGCUCUAAGCGUAGUACAUACUCCCGCUAUAGAGUUCCCCCCGGUGGCUCGCCAGAACCCCCAAUUUUUUACAGGUUGACCUCGGAUCAGGUAGGGAUACCCGCUGAACUUAAGCAUAUCAAUAAGCGGAGGAAAAGAAACCAACAGGGAUUACCUCAGUAACGGCGAGUGAAGCGGUAACAGCUCAAAUUUGAAAGCUGCCAACAGGCCGCGUUGUAAUUUGUAGAAGCUGCUUUGGGUGUCGGCCCGGUCUAAGUUCCUUGGAACAGGACGUCAUAGAGGGUGAGAAUCCCGUAUGUGAUCGGUGCCGUUGCCCGUGUAAAGCGCUUUCGACGAGUCGAGUUGUUUGGGAAUGCAGCUCAAAAUGGGUGGUAAAUUUCAUCUAAAGCUAAAUAUUGGCCAGAGACCGAUAGCGCACAAGUAGAGUGAUCGAAAGAUGAAAAGAAUC
rnacentral:rRNA from 1 species